rnacentral:rRNA from 1 species
UGGGGAAUAUUGCACAAUGGGGGAAACCCUGAUGCAGCGACGCCGCGUGAGCGAAGAAGGCUUUCGAGUCGUAAAGCUCUGUCCUAUGAGAAGAUAAUGACGGUAUCAUAGGAGGAAGCCCUGGCUAAAUACGUGCCAGCAGCCGCGGUAAUACGUAUGGGGCGAGCGUUGUCCGGAAUUAUUGGGCGUAAAGGGCGUGUAGGCGGCUAGAUAAGUGUGAUGUUUAAAUCCAAGGCUUAACCUUGGGGUUCAUUACAAACUGUUUAGCUUGAGUGCUGGAGAGGAUAGUGGAAUUCCUAGUGUAGCGGUAAAAUGCGUAGAUAUUAGGAGGAACACCGGUGGCGAAGGCGGCUAUCUGGACAGUAACUGACGCUGAGGCGCGAAAGCGUGGGUAGCAAACAGG